GACGAACGCUGGCGGCGUGCUUAACACAUGCAAGUCGAACGAUGAAGCACCAGCUUGCUGGUGUGGAUUAGUGGCGAACGGGUGAGUAACACGUGAGUAACCUGCCCCUCACUCUGGGAUAAGCCUGGGAAACUGGGUCUAAUACUGGAUACGACCGAUCUCCGCAUGGAGUGUUGGUGGAAAGUUUUUGUGGUGGGGGAUGGACUCGCGGCCUAUCAGCUUGUUGGUGGGGUAGUGGCCUACCAAGGCGACGACGGGUAGCCGGCCUGAGAGGGCGACCGGCCACACUGGGACUGAGACACGGCCCAGACUCCUACGGGAGGCAGCAGUGGGGAAUAUUGCACAAUGGGCGAAAGCCUGAUGCAGCGACGCCGCGUGAGGGAUGACGGCCUUCGGGUUGUAAACCUCUUUCACCAGGGACGAAGCUAACGUGACGGUACCUGGAGAAGAAGCACCGGCUAACUACGU
rnacentral:rRNA from 1 species